rnacentral:lncRNA from 1 species
ACUUGAGUGUCGGAAGAUCCUCGCAGGAGCGAAAACCUCCAAUUCGGACUAUUUUUGCAGGUCAGUCCAGCAUUCCCUAUGCAAGAACCAGACGUCCACCUUUUGAUCCAGCGGUAAUAAACAGCAACAAAUAGAGGAAGGGUCUACUUUUCGCAUCAUCAUGCCAUCGAAAUGAGUAUCAUCUCGUCUCUUCAAUGCCGCCACCUCCCACCAGGCGGAGAACCAAGCAUAGCCACCAGCGAUGGUGACGCC